UGAGUGAUCUAUUUCCUAGAUAAAUCUAACCAAGAUGCUAAAUAUAACUGAAAUCUAAAAAAAGUGGCAAAAGUCUUCAUGUAGAGCUUUACAGUAAAAUUAGCUUCUAACACUAUAUUUAAUGUUAAAAAGAAUUCUUCCAGAGACUUCAAGACUGUACAGAACACUAUGACAAAAAUGAGGAAAAAACUUGGUAGGAAAGGUAUCCAAGCAUCUGAACAUCUGUUUAUGAUCCUAUAAUCAUGAUAGACACGAAACCAUCUUAAGCUAUACGCAACUUUUUAGACAGCUUUAUUGCUAGCUCCUGUUAACAAAACUGUUGUUAUUGUGAGGUGACAGUCAAAUUAUUGGACGGAGAGCUCAGAACCAUACAACAUUUAUCAAACUGGUAUGA
rnacentral:lncRNA from 1 species